UACGGAGGCCCCAAGCGUUGUUCGGAUUUAUUGGGCGUAAAGGGUGCGUAGGCGGCAUCUUAAGUCUGGUGUGAAAGGCGCGGGCUCAACCUGCGGACUGCAUUGGAUACUGGGAUGCUAGAGGACUGGAGAGGAGAAUGGAAUUCACGGUGGAGCAGUGAAAUGCGUAGAUAUCGUGAGGAAGGCCAGUGGCGAAGGCGAUUCUCUGGACAGUACCUGACGCUGAGGCACGAAGGCUAGGGGAGCAAACAGG
rnacentral:rRNA from 1 species